GAAGACAGGUGUAACGGUGCUCUUCAUGUGGGAAACAAAACCGGAUAUUUGCACUCGUUUGACGUGCAGUAGGUGCUCCACAUCUGGAGAAUAAAUAGAUGCCGUUAGUUGAUUGUUGUGAGUGAAAUAGUUUGCGGAGGGAAGCGGAGCGCCGCUCACCGUCCGAGCUGCCGCACUGCCGGCGCUACUGAGGCACAAGCAGCCACGGCGCUUAUUUACUGAAGGGGCUUGUCAAGAAGAUGGCGGCUUCCUGGGCGGCAUGAAAGGAUGUAGAGUUAGCAACAUCUACAGAAAACAAACACACACUCGGGGUUGAAUUCGUUUAACUGAGUCUCUCCCUCGAUUUUUUCGGUUUUAAAAUAACAACUCGGAAGUCUCGAGUAAGUAUUUGUUCACGCUUCGAGAUUAGCGAGCGUGAAUACUUUUGCACCAUUCUGAUGACGGCUAACGGUACCGUCCGCCAUUUUUCUUAAGGGAAUGCUAGCUAGCGAUAAACGAGACAAACGAAUAUUUGAGGGAAUUGCAUAAAUGCCUCUCUUUCAUCAUGAAUAAAAACCCACUACAAAUGAAGCAUGUAAUAUUUCUCUGUCGUGCCGAAAAAAAUAUAUUUCUGCACAGCCUUUCUGCUAAAAAAAAGUAAGCUAUCGCCGUUUUAUGCUAACGCUAUAGCUUAGCUGUCGUACUAGCCAUAAAGCCUAGAACUACCUCAGCUAGUCUGCUAACGUGACUCGUUAGCUAUCUUAGCCUAAGCAAGUUAGCAUUCGCUGUGCUUGUAUUUUUACUUGUUUAACUCGCCGCGGUUGCAGUGUUUGGUUGGUAAUAAAUGUCAUUUUAGUUGGAAUUUUUGUAUAUUUAGCGACAUGUUUGCACCUUGUAGGGGGGGGGAAGAAAGCGCUUAGCUUUGUGCUAGGUGGAGGAGCAAAUGCGAUUAUUUGGUUUUGUUGUAUCAAGAUGGCGGCUCCCAUAGAAAAAGGCUGCAACUGAACACUCGGGGGCGAAAAAAAAAAGAUAAUAAAAUGCUCUACAAGAAAUUCGAGAAUAAAUAAAACAAUGAGUGUUUCUGCAGAGGUACUCAAUUAGGGUCUUCAACGUGCAGAAAAAUAUUUUCAAUUAAUUAAUCACUUAACUUUAACCCAAAAAUAUGGAAAUUGAAGGGUGUUUUUUUUUUUUUUUUGUUCACCGCCCAUUUUUAAUUCUAACGUUAGCUCUCAGUAACUUAACCAUAAAAUCAGCUAAGCCAUGUCCUUAUUAUUACCAUUUAUGUUACAUAAUGUGCACAUCUGUUAAAAUAAUAAUUAGCAAACAUACAUUGAAUUUAGCUAGUUUUUUAGAGGGCUUCUAUUUUUAUUCGUAUCUUGACGGUGGUUAGUUAGCUCGCUAGCUUAGCCUUUUAGCCAAUCGGCUAAGCAGCAUUAUUAUUCCCAUUAGCCACCGGGUUUGCUAACCAAAGCUACAAGAUGGCGGCACCCGAUGGGAAUUUGCACGGCUUUUCUCUCUCUUUCAGACAUCUUUAACAGACAAGAUGGGAACUUUAUUUUUCGGAUUAUCAACGGAAUGCGAGUGGAAAUGAUUUUGCAUGAGAUGCAUUAGCAUUUGCGGAAAUUUAAAAAACAAACACGGCCCUCAAAUUAAUCUUUUUUUUUGCUUCACCCGGCGGGCUUGUUUUAUUUUGUCGCAGAGCGUAUGCCGCUAAAAUGGCGGCUUCCAUCAGAUUCUAAGCUAAGCUAGCAUCUUAGCUGGCUACAUUUUGUACGGACUUAAAACGGCACUGUACUAAAAAAAACUUACACUUUACGAAUUUACACUUCGAUCACACUUUAAUUUAGAGUUUUUCCCUCGAGUUAAAUUUUUCUUAACGCUACAAUGGCGGGUUGUGUGGCUUUUUAGAUGAGCUACCAAAACGUAGCUGGCUACAUAUUUUUUUUGUGUGUGACGCGGCUAACGCGAAGCCUGAAGCUUUUAUUAUUAUUACUACAGUUUUAAAACUGCUCAAGCGGAGCAGUAAACUUGGAAUGGACUAGUUUUGUUGUUUUUUUUCCCUUUUUUUUUUUUUUAAAAAAAGAGAGAUUUUUCUUGCAUUAGGUAAACCAUGCGAUUAUUUCUAUCGUAUUAGGCUUUAUAUAUACGUCCUAUAUUUUGUUAUUUUUACCUGUACAUGCUAAUCCAGUCGAAAGAAUUAGCCCCUGCUUUGGCAAAAAAAACGGUUGCUAGAUAUUUAUAUAGAGAAAAAUAGAUAUAAAUAUCUAAAUUUAGUUAGUUAGGAGUAACUUCCAAAGUGAUAGUUUAGCCUGGCCUGUGUAUACGCGCGUUGUUUAAUUUUCUUAGUGAAAUAGAUAAAUAUAUUUUUACUCGCCGCCUUUUUUGGCGCUAGCUAGCGAGCUAGUUAGCAUGCUAGCUCGCAUACUUAGCCAUCUAACAUGCCUUCAUUUUUUGUUUUGUUUUCAUUUGUGAAUUUUAUUGAAUGGUGUUUUCUUUUCAUUUUGUGAAGGGGGAAAUGGCUUCUUCUGGUACCAACACCACAUCGAGCGCUUCGGGCUCCGUGUUGCAGCCGAGGUGGAAGCGGGUGCUCGGAUGGUCCGGCCCAGUACCUCGGCCUCGUCACGGCCACCGCGCCGUCGCCAUUAAAGAGCUGAUGGUGGUUUUCGGCGGCGGCAACGAAGGAAUCGUGGACGAACUUCAUGUAUACAACACAGCAACUAAUCAGUGGUUUAUCCCGGCUGUCCGGGGCGACGUGCCACCCGGCUGUGCUGCAUAUGGAUUUGUGUGUGACGGCACCCGCCUGUUGGUGUUCGGGGGAAUGGUCGAAUAUGGAAAGUACAGCAACGAUCUUUAUGAACUACAGGCCAGUAGAUGGGAGUGGAAACGGCUGAAGCCUAAAGCUCCAAAGAAUGGCCCUCCUCCUUGUCCACGCCUGGGCCACAGCUUCUCCCUCGUGGGGAAUAAAUGCUACCUAUUCGGCGGACUUGCCAACGACAGCGAAGAUCCCAAAAACAAUAUUCCAAGAUACCUGAAUGACCUGUACACACUCGAGCUGCGUCCGGGCUCCAGCGUGGCAGGCUGGGACAUCCCCAUCACAUACGGCGUGCUUCCUCCUCCUCGCGAGAGCCACACAGCCGUAGUGUACACAGAGAAAACCUCAAAGAAGUCUCGCCUCGUUAUCUACGGAGGCAUGAGUGGCUGCCGCCUCGGAGACCUUUGGACGUUAGAUAUAGACACACUGACUUGGAACAAGCCGGCAAUCAGUGGCACUGCUCCGCUCCCUCGCAGUCUCCACUCUGCCACCACCAUAACCAACAAGAUGUACGUGUUUGGCGGUUGGGUGCCCUUGGUGAUGGAUGACGUGAAAGUGGCUACACAUGAAAAGGAAUGGAAGUGUACAAACACACUGGCAUGCCUAAAUCUGGACACAAUGACAUGGGAGACUAUUUUAAUGGACACUCUGGAAGACAACAUCCCGAGAGCCAGGGCAGGACAUUGCUCCGUAGCCAUCAACUCCCGACUGUAUGUUUGGAGUGGCAGAGACGGCUACCGCAAAGCCUGGAACAACCAAGUGUGCUGCAAAGACCUCUGGUAUUUGGAGACAGACCGUCCUCUGGCGCCCUCUCGCGUGCAGUUGGUUCGUGCCAAUACAAGUUCUCUGGAGGUGAGCUGGGGCGCUGUGCCCACCGCUGAUGCCUACCUGCUGCAGCUGCAGAAAUACGAAAUUCCAGCAGCGACGACGGCCUCAUCCCCCAGCGUCACUCCCACUUCCUCGCUGCCCUCCAACUCACCCAAGAGCCCGGCCCCAGCCGCUGCGGCCCCUGCCUCUCAGAGCGUGCCCGUCACAGGGGUAACCCUCAUACCCCAGGUGCCCUCACCAACUGCGUCCAUGCCUGUGAGCCCGCUCGCUGCAGCCUCACCGCGCGGUCCAGCCAUCCUGAAAGUGGCAGCACCUCAGUCCGCUGCUGGGACUUCUAUUGUCACCGUGCGUCAGGCCAAUCAAGUGGGAAAAUCCCCGGUUACAGUUGCAUCACUUCCUGCUGGAGUCCGAAUGGUCGUUCCUGCACAGAGCGCACAAGGAACACCGAUCGGGAGCAGCCCUCAGAUGAGUGGCAUGGCCGCUCUGGCUGCAGCGGCGGCUGCCACACAGAAAAUCCCUCCUUCGUCAUCAGCCACUAUGCUGAAUGUUCCAGCAGGAGCCACCAUCGUGAAAACUGUUGCUGUCACUCCAGGCUCCGCAGCUCUUCCUGCUACAGUGAAAGUAGCCUCGCCAGUGACGGUGAGCAACCCAGCCACCCGCAUGCUAAAGACUGCUGCAGCUCAAGCUGGAACUUCUACCAUCACGACCCCUAACACGCCAACACGUCCCAUCAUCACCGUGCACAAAUCGGGCACGGUGACUGUGGCCCAGCAGGCUCAGGUGGUCACCACUGUGGUUGGAGGAGUCACUAAAACCAUCACGCUUGUCAAGAGCCCACUCACUGUGGGCAGCGGCGGCACUCUGAUCUCAAGCCUUGGGAAGGUGAUGUCCAUGGUCCAGACAAAACCAGUACAGACCGCUGCCGUGACAGGCCAGGCUGGCAGCCCUGUCACACAGAUCAUUCAGACGAAGGGUCCUCUGCCUGCAGGCACCAUACUGAAGCUAGUCACCUCAGCAGACGGCAAACCCACUACCAUCAUCACUACCACACAGGGGGGUGGUACUGGCACAAAACCAACCAUUCUGGGCAUCUCCCCUACCACCACUAACAAGCCUGGCACCACCAUCAUCAAGACCAUACCGAUGUCUGCCAUUCAGCAGGGAGCUGCAGGUUUGUCUUACCGCAAGUUCGGUGCUACCAGUAGCACAGGUAUAAAGUCUCCUAUCACGAUCAUUACGACCAAAAUGAUGACGCCUGGAACACCAGGAAAAAUAAUCACAGCAGUACCAAAACUGGCUACUGGAACUGCACAGCAGGGAGUGACUCAGGUGGUCCUGAAGGGGGCGCCAGGGCAGCCUGGCACCAUUCUUCGCACUGUGCCCAUGGGCGGUGUGCGUCUCGUUUCUCCUGGUACCGUUUCUGCUGUCAAGCCCACAGUUACCACACUAGUAGUUAAAGGCACCACAGGAGUAACUACUCUCGGCACUGUGACCGGAACAAUCUCAACCAGCCUGGCAGGGGGCAAUGUUCCCACUGCUAAUGCUAGCCUGGCUACUCCCAUAACCACCCUGGGCACCAUCGCCACACUCUCCAGCCAGGUGAUCAGCCCUACAGCUAUCACUGUGUCUGCAGCCCAGACAAACCUGACUACUGCACCUACAGUGGCUAUACAGGCAGCUACACAGCCCACUCAGGUGACGCUGAUAAGCACCCCCAGUGGUGUUGAGGCCCAGCAGGACCUCCCCGUGUCCAUCCUGGCCUCUCCCACCUCUGAGCAGCCCUCCACCACAGGUGCUGAAGCAGGCGACACCCCAGGUGAAGUGACUCUGGUCUGCUCCAACCCACCGUGCGAGACCCACGAAACCGGUACCACCAACACGGCCACCACAGCUUCCGCCAAGAUCGGAACCGAGCGCGUGUGCUCUAACCCACCUUGCGAGACACACGUGACCGGAACAACCAACACGACAACCACGGCAUCAUCCGACAUGGGCCGUGUGCAGCAAGUAUGCAGCAACCCGCCGUGCGAAACACAUGAAACGGGCACUACAAACACAUCUACGCAGGCGUCCUCCAACAUGGGCAGUGCAGAGACCAACACGGUACAGAGAGUGUGUUCUAACCCGCCAUGUGAGACCCAUGAAACCGGCACCACCAACACCGCUACGCAGGCAUCUUCGAGUAUGGGCAGUGGGGAGACUAACACUGUACAGAGAGUGUGUUCCAACCCACCUCAUGAAACCCACGAAACGGGUACCACCAACACCGCUACGCAGGCAUCUUUGAGUAUGGGCAGUGGGGAGACUAACACUGUACAGAGAGUGUGUUCCAACCCACCUCAUGAAACCCACGAAACGGGUACCACCAACACCGCUACACAGGCAUCUUCGAGUAUGGGCAGUGGGGAGACCAACACGGUACAGAGAGUGUGUUCCAACCCACCAUGUGAGACCCACGAAACCGGCACCACUAAUACACCUACACAGGCUUCAUCCACCAUCGGAUCAGGGCAGAAUGGCACGGUGCAGAGAGUGUGUUCCAACCCACCAUGUGAGACUCAUGAGACCGGCACCACCAACACGGCUACUACCGCCACCAGCAGCCUCGAGUCAGCCGAAGGAACAGCGCAACAGAGUGGUAACGGACAAGACGCUGGCACCAGUGCAGAGGCAACUUCGUCGACAGAACCUGCCAAUCCCCCGAUUCAGAGCAGAGCCAUCACCACAGUGACUCAGGCCACGCCCACCCCAGGACCCUCCGUUCCGGAAAUCUCAUCCAUGGCAGGCUCCGUUGCUGUAGUGGAGGGCUCUGGUGAAGCUGAGGCAAUGGAGCAGGGAGACUCUGAGGCAGUAGCGAUGGGUGAGGAGCCCAUGCAAACCGAGGGCGAACUGGGUGAAGACGGAGCUGUCCGAGUCGUUGCUAUUGAGGAGGGUGCUGCCGGUGAGGCGGGCACCAUGCUGCAGGUUCAUGUUGCCAUGGAAGCACAGCCGGGUCAGGGAGAGCAAGCUGAGAUGGAGCAGGGCGGUGAGGGCGCGGAGGCCGUAGCUCUGGCAGGGCAAGACUCCGAGGCCUUGGCGCUGCCUCAGGAACUGAUGUCAGCUGAGGGGCAGCAGACCACGCUGAUGGUGACAGGACUGACCCCGGAGGAACUGGCUGUCACUGCUGCAGCAGAAGCUGCUGCUCAGGCUGCAGCCACAGAAGAGGCCCAGGCGCUCGCCAUACAGGCCGUGCUACAGGCAGCCCAACAGGCCGUGCUCAAUGAAGGAGACUCUGGACAGGACGGUCAGCAGACCACCACCAUUCCCAUCGUACUGACGCAACAGGAACUGGCUGCUCUGGUCCACCAACAGCAGCAACUCCAGGAGGCUCAAGCAGCUGCUGCAGCUGCAGCAGCCGCUGCCCAGCAGCUGGCGGCCGAUUCUGGCACAGCGACUUUACCCACCGAGGGCCUGGCACCCGCAGACAGCCUCAACGACCCCAUGACCGAGAGCAACGGCCAUGAGAUGGCCGCCGCAGCAGUAACCGCAGCUGUGGCUCAGCUUCUCCCCAGCACUUCUGCAGAGACUUUGGCUCCAUCGAGUACACUUGCCCCGUCCCAACCCAUGGUGGUUGCCAGCCCUGCAAAGAUACAGGCCGCCACUACGCUUGCUGAGGUGGCCAAUGGCAUUGAGUCUGCAGCUGGGAAGCCAGGAGUGCCCCCUGCAGUCGUGAAACCGCCAGUGAAGAAAGAAAAUCAGUGGUUUGAUGUCGGAAUCGUCAAGGUGACCAACACGGUCGUCACACACUAUUACGUCCCAGCAGACGAUUCAGAGGUUACUGAUGAUGAUUCUGGGGCCAUACCAGACUACAGUCAAAUGAAGAAAGUGGAGCUCUCUCCCGGCACCGCGUACAAGUUCCGUGUGGCCGGAAUCAACGCUUGUGGCCGUGGAACGUUUUCUGAAGUUUCGGCGUUCAAGACCUGCUUGCCUGGCUUCCCAGGAGCACCGUGUGCCAUUAAAAUCAGCAAGAGCCCUGAUGGUGCUCACCUCACCUGGGAACCUCCGUCUGUGACGUCAGGGAAGAUCAUAGAGUACUCCGUCUACCUGGCCAUCCAGAGCUCUCAGACGACCGAGGCAAAAGCAUCUGCCCCGGCUCAGCUGGCCUUCAUGCGGGUGUACUGUGGCCCAAAUCCCUCCUGCCUAGUCCAGACCUCCAGCCUGUCCAACGCCCACAUCGACUACACCACCAAACCAGCCAUCAUCUUCCGCAUUGCCGCUCGCAACGAGAAGGGCUACGGCCCUGCUACGCAAGUCAGGUGGCUACAAGAAACCAGUAAAGAUGGAUCUGCUGCCAAACCUGCAGCGAAGAGACCGGUCUCAUCUCCUGAUACAAGCAGCCGUAGUCCCAGCAAUCUGGAAUUGGAAUAGAUGAGAGCUCCAUCCAGAGGUAGGACAUCCGAAACGGAUCAGGCAUGUCCGGAGAGCAGAAAGGAUCGGGAUCUCUAGUAUCUCCAUAAAAUCGUGUCUGGCUCGACAGAAGGAGAGAGGGAGAGAAAAGAUUAUUAGGACUGUGCUUAAGGAAAGGUACCGGUCCAAAAAAGGCCAGAGCCGACCAGUGAGAGAUUUUGAUGUGCCCCUCCCCCUUUGAGACCAAGACCCCUGACCGAAAUCCUUCCUGCUGAAUGCCCUCCCCAGCCUUAUUAAACCCACAUCCCCCUACCACUUCCAACUUAACAUGAAAUGACAGCGGGGGGGGGGAAAAAAAGGAGAAAGAUCAAGAUAAUCUGUUUGUGCCCUACCCCAAUCAUCACUGGACAUCCUGGUGCCAUGGACGCCUUAUCGCUUCGACUGUGUUAAAAUGAAACCGUAUUAUAAAUGUUUCUUCACACAAACAGUUAAAAGCACAUUCUUUUUGCUUUGUCCUGGAAGUUUCGUGUGAUAAAUUUCCAAUGGCAGCAUUCAGUCAAGUUAACUGUCUUGUUUUUCUGUAGUUCGUUUUUUUUUUUUCCUCCUUCCUUCAUGUUCUUUUAUUUUAUCUUACAAGCAAUAGAUAAAAAAACAAAAACAAAACAAAAACACAACUUUUGCUCUUCAGCCAGUUUUUUUUAUUUUUUAUUUUCAAGUCUGUAUAUUUCAGUUGGACACAGACAGACGUUUGAUGGUAACUGAAGAGGGAGAAAUCCGACAAUGAAGCUACACCUGGAAAUCCAUUGAAGGAUGGAUGGAUGGAUGGAUGGAUGGAUGGGAGGGGGGGGGGAAAGCAACAACACAGCACUUGGUGAUGCUUCUGAAGACAAAAAACUUUUUCAUUUUAAGACAUCUGUAAUUGUAUAUUCAAUCCGAGUCCAGUAGCCUGUUAUUACAUCACUGUGUUUUUUCAUUCAUAGCGAAGAGGGAAUUGGAGAACUGUAUUUUGUAACGAAGCUAUAAGGACUCCGAUCCUUGUAGAGGGGGAGGCGUAUGCCUUUUUUUUUUUGUUUUUUUUUUUUUUUAAAUUGCAUUGAAAUGCAUCUUGUAUAAAGAAGGGGAGGGGGGGAUCCCAUAAAUAGUAAGAAGUGAUGCAGAAGCUCGCUGUGUGUGGUUUAUUUUUGUAUUUUUUUCUUCUUUUUUUUAAGCAGAGAAAAAUGUUCCCUUUAUUGUGUACGUGUGCAUUUGCUCCGUUUUAAAAACGCGUUUCCUGCUCAUUCCUAUAGUCCGAGUGUCACGUGGGAUCCCGUGGCCGAUUGUCCUGUGUGCCACGGAAUUUUCUCCAUCCCACCUUUAAGGAAUAUUUCAAAAUGAUGAUUCAGAAAUUAAAGAUUGACGUGAACUUUUUCUACUCACUUUGGAGAAAGACUAUCCAUUUAAACCAUGCUUUAGCAUACUGAACAUAGGUUUUUCAUUCUUUGUUUCUUUAUGCAUUUUUUUUUUUUCUUCCCCUUCCAACUUGUAUAUUGUUGAUCAUUUAAAGGAGUGUGUUGCUGGAAGGCUGUUUGUUCUUUUUGUUUUUUUCUCUACCUGUUAACCUUUUCACUAGUCCAUAGUUUAUGUAAACUUUGCUUUUUAAAAAAAAAAAAAAAUUUUUUUUAAAAGCAUUUGUGGAAUUUUUUUUUUUCUUUUCCCCCCUCCCAUGCUUGUUUGUGAGCUGGUUUAGAAGUAAAAAGCAAACUUGGGAUUCUUCUCAUCGUGGGGAAAAUGUCGCAAGCAUUUUCAUUCAUCUUGGGACGGUUGACUUUUAUUUUUCUCCCUCCUUUUUUUUUUUUUUUUUUUUUUUUUUUUUUUUGGCAGAUGGUUUCGGCGUGCAGGGUACAGAUGGAUUACCAGUGUCGGAUUGAGAGUGCUGAUACGGGAUGAGUUUUUGUUCAUUGUGUUCAGUUGGAUAGCUCAAUUCCGAUCCUGGACCAGCAUACUCGCUCUGAAACGUGAUUUUGCAUUACGACCCCCCAGUUUCUAGAAUGAUGUUUGACUGACUGAAAAGUGCACCGAUAAUGUGUCUGAAUGGGGAAAUGGAGAGAAAAAAAACAAAACAUUGGUUUGCUUUUCUGACAAUUUUGUGGGAAAAUAAUGGAUUAUUGGCACAGCCAGCGGUUGAACUCAGUUGUAAAUUAGUUCUUUCACGUAGCAAGAAGUAAAACAAAACUCCGCCUUUUUAUAUAAUUAUCUGUAACAAAUGUUUUUACAUGUUGUCAUCUAUUGAUUGCUUUUGUGUCUUGACAUAUAAAAGUAAUGGAAAUCUG